CCUCUUACUGGACCAAACUCUAUUGUUGGAAGGGCUGUUGUUGUCCACGCAGACCCUGAUGGCCUCCGAAAGGGAGGCCAUGAACUCAGCUUGGCUACCGGAAACGCAGGCUGUCGUGUUGCCUGUGGUAUCAUUGGUCUCCAGGGCUAAAGCUGUUCUGUUU